GGAAACGUAUCCUGUGGGAG
rnacentral:misc_RNA from 1 species